rnacentral:rRNA from 1 species
GAGGCAUGCAAAGGCUGUCGCUGACCUUUAACACAAAGGUCGUGCACGCCAGAGUGUGUCCUCUCGCAUAAAAUCCAUCUCACCCUUUUGUGCACCACCGCGCGGGCACCCUCUGGGAUCGAACCGAUCCAGGAGGGGGCUUGCGUUUUCACACAAACCCCCUUUUAAAAGUGUAGAAUGACCCCAUUUUUGCGAUAACACGCAAUCAAUACAACUUUCAACAACGGAUCUCUUGGCUCUCGCAUCGAUGAAGAACGCAGCGAAAUGCGAUACGUAAUGUGAAUUGCAGAAUUCAGUGAAUCAUCGAAUCUUUGAACGCACCUUGCGCCCCUUGGUAUUCCGAGGGGCACACCCGUUUGAGUGUCGUGAAAAUCUCAACCUUCUCGGUUUCUUCUGGACACCGAAGGAGGCUUGGACUUUGGAGGCUUUUGCUGGCGUAUCUCCCAGCUCCUCUCAAANGAAUUAGCGGGGUCCUCUUUGCCGAUCCUCGACAUGUGAUAAGAUGUUUCCAUGUCUUGGUUUAUGGCUCUGUUGCCUUUGGGACCCGCUUCUAGCCGUCUCACCGAGACAAUGUCCGAGCGUGUCUCCCUUCUCGGGAAACCCUCUCAGACCCACGAACCCUUGA